AGCGAACGCUGGCGGCAGGCCUAACACAUGCAAGUCGAACGGAUCCUUCGGGAUUAGUGGCGGACGGGUGAGUAACACGUGGGAACGUGCCCUUUGGUUCGGAACAACCCAGGGAAACUUGAGCUAAUACCGGAUGUGCCCUUCGGGGGAAAGAUUUAUCGCCAUUGGAGCGGCCCGCGUCUGAUUAGCUAGUUGGUGAGGUAAAGGCUCACCAAGGCGACGAUCAGUAGCUGGUCUGAGAGGAUGAUCAGCCACAUUGGGACUGAGACACGGCCGAAACUCCUACGGGGGGCAGCAGUGGGGAAGCUUGCGCAAUGGGCGAAAGCCUGACGCAGCCAUGCCGCGUGAAUGAUGAAGGUCUUAGGAUUGUAAAAUUCUUUCACCGGGGACGAUAAUGACGGUACCCGGAGAAGAAGCCCCGGCUAACUUCGUGCCAGCCGCCGCCGUAA
rnacentral:rRNA from 1 species